rnacentral:rRNA from 1 species
ACGGGUGAGUAAUGUCUGGGGAUCUGCCCGAUAGAGGGGGAUAACCACUGGAAACGGUGGCUAAUACCGCAUAACGUCGCAAGACCAAAGAGGGGGACCUUCGGGCCUCUCACUAUCGGAUGAACCCAGAUGGGAUUAGCUAGUAGGCGGGGUAAUGGCCCACCUAGGCGACGAUCCCUAGCUGGUCUGAGAGGAUGACCAGCCACACUGGAACUGAGACACGGUCCAGACUCCUACGGAAGGCAGCAGUGGGGAAUAUUGCACAAUGGGCGCAAGCCUGAUGCAGCCAUGCCGCGUGUAUGAAGAGGGCCUUCGGGUUGUAAAGUACUUUCAGCGGGGAGGAAGGCGAUGGGGUUAAUAACCUUAUCGAUUGACGUUACCCGCAGAAGAAGUACCGGCUAACUCCGUGCCAGCAGCCGCGGUAAUACGGAGGGUGCAAGCGUUAAUCGGAAUUACUGGGCGUAAAGCGCACGCAGGCGGUCUGUUAAGUCAGAUGUGAAAUCCCCGGGCUUAACCUGGGAACUGCAUUUGAAACUGGCAGGCUUGAGUCUUGUAGAGGGGGGUAGAAUUCCAGGUGUA